AUGCAGAUGGCGAGACAAGUUCGCUCCCAGGACCCUGGACACCGGCGGGUGCUGGACCGGGCCGCCAGGCAGCGGAGGAUCAAUCACCAGCUGGAAGCAUUAGAGAAUGACAACUUCCAGGAUGACCUCCAUGCCGGCCUCCCGCAGCUGGGCAAGAGGCUCCCUCAGUUUGAUGAUGAUGCAGACACAGGAAAGAAAAAGAAGAAAACUCGAGGGGACCACUUUAAACUUCGCUUCCGGAAAAACUUCCAGGCUUUGCUGGAGGAACAGAACCUGAGUGCAUCCGAGGGCCCCAACUACUUGACAGCCUGUGCUGGGCCCCCUUCCCGGCCCCAGCGUCCCUUCUGUGCAGUGUGUGGCUUCCCAUCCCCGUAUACCUGUGUAAGCUACGGUGCUCGGUACUGCACAGUGCGCUGCCUGGGCACCCAUCAGGAGACCCGGUGUCUGAAGUGGACUGUAUAAACCUGCCAUUAGGGAGAGGAAUUAUCCCCUACCCUCCCCAACCCACCCCAGCUCACCCACAAAGAGCAGAGACAGGAACUACCCAGCAAAGCUGUGUCCUCCCAACCAAGGAAGGCCACACGGACCCCAGGAACUGUUGUGGGGGUGGUGCAGCCCACAGAGUGCUAUGAUAAUAAAUGGCAUGGUAAAAGGAAAA